rnacentral:rRNA from 2 species
UAACGAACGAGACCUUAACCUGCUAAAUAGCCAGGCCCGCUUUGGCGGGUCGCCGGCUUCUUAGAGGGACUAUCGGCUCAAGCCGAUGGAAGUUUGAGGCAAUAACAGGUCUGUGAUGCCCUUAGAUGUUCUGGGCCGCACGCGCGCUACACUGACAGAGCCAACGAGUUCAUCACCUUGGCCGGAAGGUCUGGGUAAUCUUGUUAAACUCUGUCGUGCUGGGGAUAGGGCAUUGCAAUUAUUGCCCUUCAACGAGGAAUGCCUAGUAAGCGCAUGUCAUCAGCAUGCGUUGAUUACGUCCCUGCCCUUUGUACACACCGCCCGUCGCUACAACCGAUUGAAUGGCAAAUUACCGGGUUAAGGUUUCUUUCUUUUU